UCAGAUUUUAAAAAUAUCAGUUAAGGAGAUCUCUGCCUGCAUUUUGGAAGCUUGCUGAGCAGAUGGCUUUGCUCCCUUUGGAAAAGUCAGAAGCCAAGGCCAGCGUUUAGUUAGAAAGGGCGUGUUAGCCCCGAAUAUGCCAUGCUUUGUAGGUUAGCUUGGAAGGGGUCAAGAAGAAUCCAUCAGAAGAACAUUCUGAUGCUCAUAUUUUAAACUUGGCUGGAGGCAGAUGUACAAGCAUCCUUUGGAAUGGAAGGGGUGGCAAAGUCCUUUCCUGCAGCACAAGAGGCAGCGUUAGCUUCAUGCUUUAACAAGAAAAAGCAGAGAGGCAGGUGGCACCCCAGGGAGUUCCAGACAAGGGAUUGAUACAAAACCAGAGGAGAAGCACAUUUUCUAAAGAAUAAGGACUCUAUGUAGAGCUGAGACCCUACGCACUGCCCUCACCAAGCCCCAUGUAAGUUUCUUCUUUCAGGCAAGCAGGCUUGUCCCAACAUUAUAACAACACUUAGAUACAACAGAUACCUGUUGGACAAACAGAGAAACACCAGGAAUACAAGUACACAUCACAAAACCACGUGAGGAUGCAGAGAAGGUGGCCAUCUGCAAGCCAAGGGGAGAAGCCUGGGUAGAAACCAGCCCUGCUGACACCUUGACCUCAGACUUUCACUCUCCAGCACUGUGAGAAUGUAAAUUUCUGCUGUUGAAGCCUGCCCACCUGUGGUAUUUUGUUAUGGCACCCCUAGCAAAAGAAUAUGAGUCAUGGUUAUUUUUCAGAUAUGAAAACACAGGACCCUUCUUUGCCUCCAUGUCUUUGCAGUUCUGGUUCUCUGCCCUUGACACAUCCCUUCAUGAAGUGUAGCCUUCAUGUCUUUUGUAAAUCCCUCCUGGACCAUACCAGGCAACUGGUGUGUCCUCUGUGCUGUCCAAGCACCUGAAACCACACACCUGUAAAGCACUAAUCACAGUGAAAAGAAAAUACUUGUUUAUGUGACUAUCUCCCUCAUUAAACUAUCAAAUUCUCAAAAACAGAGACUGUCUUGUAUUGGCAUGCAGCUGCACAGAAUGAUAUUAAUCCUCAUCUUUUGUUCAUAAACAUUUGACACUGGUUCAUACAUGGUUUUAAAAAGAAAUUAGGUGUUUUUUAUUUUAUUCUAAUUUUUUUUUUGAGACGGGGUCUCACUCUUCUCCCAGGCUGGAGUGCUGUGGCUCGAUCUCGGCUCACUGCAACCUCUGCUUCUCGGGCUAAAGUGAUCCUUCCACCUCAGCCUCCUGAGUAGCUGGGAUUACAGGCACACACCACCAUGUCUGGCUAAUUUUUUGUAUUUUUUGUAGAGAUGGGUUUUCGCCAUGUUGCCCAGCCUAGUCUCAAACUCCUGGGCUCAAGGGAUUCGCCUGUCUGGGCCUUCCAAAGUUCUGGGAUUACAGGCAUGAGCCACUGCACCACCUAGCCUUAUGUUUAAUAAUUCAGUAGGCAACCAUGAACCAAUUACCUA
rnacentral:lncRNA from 1 species